GGGGAUAUAACUCAGUUGGUAGAGCACUUGUCUCACAUGUGCUUGCACAAAACCCUGGGUUCAAUCCCCAGUACCACCA
rnacentral:tRNA from 1 species